rnacentral:rRNA from 1 species
UACGUAGGGUGCAAGCGUUGUCCGGAAUUAUUGGGCGUAAAGAGCUCGUAGGCGGCUUGUCGCGUCGGCUGUGAAAACCUGGGGCUCAACCCCGGGCCUGCAGCCGAUACGGGCAAGCUAGAAUUCGGUAGGGGAGACUGGAAUCCCUGGUGUAGCGGUGAAAUGCGCAGAUAUCAGGAGGAACACCGGUGGCGAAGGCGGGUCUCUGGGCCGAUAUUGACGCUGAGGAGCGAAAGCGUGGGUAGCAAACAGG